CGCUUAAAAAUUCUAGUGCUUGGGGAAAAAUUUCAACGUUGAGUUAAAAGUGGUUGUCUAUUUCAAAGACAUCGCGACCAACAAAAAAAAGUGCUUAAUAGUAACGAACAUACAACUAGUUAUAGAAUACCUAAUGGAAAUCCCAUAGCCAAGUUGAAUAAGUUUUGACGCAGUACCACAGGGUUACUGUAGUGAUGGCUGGGACUAUUCUUCCAACAACUUUAAUGUUCAUACCCUUUCCAUCAUUGGUUCAAGCAAGUAUAUCAGUAGCAAUUCCAUUCCUACUCUAGAACAAUAACGCAGAUACCAAAGAAAUAGAUCAAGGAAUGUCUGCCGUUACUGAGGACAACCAUGGUGUAGUUGUUGCUCAAGAACAGGCAGGUGAUAUUGUUCUCAGUUUCAGGUCUCAGCCUACUACAUCGUCAACAUGGAACAUCCCGCUACGUACACCAAGUGCUGUUAAUGUUAUUGGAAAGUUUUAUUUGACAUUAUUAGUUUUUGUUACCCAUAUUCUAAUUGUUAUCACAUUUCUGAGUUGACAAACAAUACAA